GUGCCAGCCGCCGCGGUAAUACGGAGGGUGCAAGCGUUGCUCGGAAUCACUGGGCGUAAAGCGAACGCAGGCGGCCAGGUAUGUCGGAUGUGAAAGCCCCGGGCUCAACCCGGGAACUGCAUUCGAAACUGCCUGGCUUGAGUCCGAGAGAGGGUGGUGGAAUUCCUGGUGUAGAGGUGAAAUUCGUUGAUAUCAGGAGGAACACCGGCGGCGAAGGCGGCCACCUGGCUCGGUACUGACGCUCAUGUUCGAAAGCGUGGGUAGCAAACAGGAUUAGAUACCCUGGUAGUCCACGCCGUAAACGAUGUGUGCUAGAUGUUGGAGGUAUUCACCCCUUCAGUGUCGCAGCUAACGCACUAAGCACACCGCCUGGGGAGUACGGUCGCAAGAUUAAAACUCAAAGGAAUUGACGGGG
rnacentral:rRNA from 1 species